rnacentral:misc_RNA from 1 species
CAUGCUGUCGCUUGCAUCGAUUCAAACCUGGGCUUAUAAGAGGCUUAUAUUACCUACGUGAGCGUACAUAUACGCAUGUAUGUCCCCCCCCGUGCAUGCACCUAUAUGUACAUGCACACCAAUGUACACACGUGUUGUAUCCUGCCGGACAACGUAAAGGAAAUUUCUGGGGGAGAGAACGAAAUUUGGAUGUGGGAAAAUCACAACGCCACAGUUUCCGUAGGAUGGGAGGAGCGUUAAAAUCAUCUCGUUGCAGUAUAUUUGAGAGGAG